rnacentral:rRNA from 1 species
UACAGAGGGGGGCAAGCGUUGUUCGGAAUUACUGGGCGUAAAGGGCGCGUAGGCGGCCCGCUAAGUCGAACGUGAAAUCCCCAGGCUCAACCUGGGAACUGCGUCCGAUACUGGCAGGCUUGAAUCCGGGAGAGGGAUGUGGAAUUCCAGGUGUAGCGGUGAAAUGCGUAGAUAUCUGGAGGAACACCGGUGGCGAAGGCGGCAUCCUGGACCGGUAUUGACGCUGAGGCGCGAAAGCUAGGG